rnacentral:rRNA from 1 species
UACGGAGGGAGCUAGCGUUGUUCGGAAUUACUGGGCGUAAAGCGCGCGUAGGCGGCUUUGUAAGUUAGAGGUGAAAGCCCGGGGCUCAACUCCGGAACUGCCUUUAAGACUGCAUCGCUUGAAUCCGGGAGAGGUGAGUGGAAUUCCGAGUGUAGAGGUGAAAUUCGUAGAUAUUCGGAAGAACACCAGUGGCGAAGGCGGCUCACUGGACCGGUAUUGACGCUGAGGCACGAAAGCGUGGGGAGCAAACAGG